rnacentral:rRNA from 1 species
AAAGCCUCUAAGCAUCAGGUAACAUCAAAUCGUACCCCAAACCGACACAGGUGGUCAGGUAGAGAAUACCAAGGCGCUUGAGAGAACUCGGGUGAAGGAACUAGGCAAAAUGGUGCCGUAACUUCGGGAGAAGGCACGCUGAUAUGUAGGUGAAGCGACUUGCUCGUGGAGCUGAAAUCAGUCGAAGAUACCAGCUGGCUGCAACUGUUUAUUAAAAACACAGCACUGUGCAAACACGAAAGUGGACGUAUACGGUGUGACGCCUGCCCGGUGCCGGAAGGUUAAUUGAUGGGGUUAGCGGUAACGCGAAGCUCUUGAUCGAAGCCCCGGUAAACGGCGGCCGUAACUAUAACGGUCCUAAGGUAGCGAAAUUCCUUGUCGGGUAAGUUCCGACCUGCACGAAUGGCGUAAUGAUGGCCAGGCUGUCUCCACCCGAGACUCAGUGAAAUUGAACUCGCUGUGAAGAUGCAGUGUACCCGCGGCAAGACGGAAAGACCCCGUGAACCUUUACUAUAGCUUGACACUGAACAUUGAGCCUUGAUGUGUAGGAUAGGUGGGAGGCUUUGAAGUGUGGACGCCAGUCUGCAUGGAGCCGACCUUGAAAUACCACCCUUUAAUGUUUGAUGUUCUAACGUUGGCCCGUAAUCCGGGUUGCGGACAGUGUCUGGUGGGUAGUUUGACUGGGGCGGUCUCCUCCUAAAGAGUAACGGAGGAGCACGAAGGUUGGCUAAUCCUGGUCGGACAUCAGGAGGUUAGUGCAAUGGCAUAAGCCAGCUUGACUGCGAGCGUGACGGCGCGAGCAGGUGCGAAAGCAGGUCAUAGUGAUCCGGUGGUUCUGAAUGGAAGGGCCAUCGCUCAACGGAUAAAAGGUACUCCGGGGAUAACAGGCUGAUACCGCCCAAGAGUUCAUAUCGACGGCGGUGUUUGGCACCUCGAUGUCGGCUCAUCACAUCCUGGGGCUGAAGUAGGUCCCAAGGGUAUGGCUGUUCGCCAUUUAAAGUGGUACGCGAGCUGGGUUUAGAACGUCGUGAGACAGUUCGGUCCCUAUCUGCCGUGGGCGCUGGAGAACUGAGGGGGGCUGCUCCUAGUACGAGAGGACCGGAGUGGACGCAUCACUGGUGUUCGGGUUGUCAUGCCAAUGGCACUGCCCGGUAGCUAAAUGCGGAAGAGAUAAGUGCUGAAAGCAUCUAAGCACGAAACUUGCCCCGAGAUGAGUUCUCCCUGAGACUUAGAGUCUCCUGAAGGAACGUUGAAGACGACGACGUUGAUAGGCCGGGUGUGUAAGCGCAGCGAUGCGUUGAGCUAACCGGUACUAAUGAACCGUGAGGCUUAACCUUACAACGCCGAAG